AAUAAAGACCGAGUCUGCACUUGUUCGAAACUGAAUAAAGGCCGAGUCUGCAGUUGUUCUUGUUUAACUGAAUUCUGGAUGCUCCAUAUUUCCAACUUCAGUUACUAAAAUCAUGCCACCAGUUCUGGAGAGUGAUAUGCAUAGCAGGGAAUAUCUUGCGGAACAGAAACGCAAGGGUGAGGCAUAUUUGAAGGAAAGGAAUGCAAGGAUUGCGGAAUGCAAGGCUGCGGAGCAGGAGUCUCUUAAAGACAUACAAAGCAUAGCUCGUAGCCUUGUAUACUCCAGUGCUCCUAAUGCGCAACUGACACAAAAUGCACAAGGUGCUGAUGAUUGCAGUGACUCAGAGUAUGACCGAGAUGCUGAAGAGGAGGCCUAUGUAGAGGAAGAGGAUUUGAGAGAUGAAGAGGAGGUCGCUCUUGCUAAGUCCAAAGCAAUGGAAGCAUUAUCAAAUAAGCCACCCAACAUUACUCAUGAGAAUUGGACUAGCCUUGUCAAUAAAUGGUCUGAUGAAAGAAACAAGGUUUGUAACAAGAUAUGCGACCAACAAUAGUUUUUGCAUUCACAUCUACUGUACCAUAUGUAAAUACUUAUAUUCAUUUUUUAUGUAUAAAAUAUGUCAAAUGAAUAAGGAAAACCGAGAAGCUGUCAGGCAACACCAAAAGACGGGAUAUAUGUCCUAUGUUUCCUAUUUCAGCAAACUUAAAAAAGACAAGUACAAUAAUCAUGAUCCAAGUCCCAUUGAGUUUUUCAAAGACACCCAUACAAACAGCAAGACUGAUAGCAUGAGCUGAGUCAGGACUUCUAGCUCAUAAUGCGAUGGAAAAGAAAAGGGAAGCACAAUCAGAAGGUGAGCAGCCAGUAUCCGAUACAUCGAUUGUGGCUGAAGUUCUAAAGGAAGAAAGCGCCCAUAGUACCGUCCUUUCUAGCAUGGGGUAUGCAUCAAGAUCCGAGAGGUCUGGGAGCUCUACUUCAUGAGCCUAGAUCCGAUUUCUAGAAGAAAGAAUUGAAUAGAAGGAUAGAGAGGCAAGAGAUGCAAAUGACAGGCAUCGGGAGGAGUUAGUCGCAAGACUUGAAGCACGAGAGAGAGCAUUUUAAGACAUACAAAAGAAGCAGAAAGAAGAAUUGGAAGCUUUAAAAAAGAGCCAGCAAGAGAAGACUGAAGCGUGGGCAAAGAAGCAAAAGGAGACGGGACAAUCUGCUUGAUUUUUUGAGGGCUCAAGCAACUCUGCAGUCCCAGUCCCAACCAGAUGGUUCAUGAAUGCCAUCCUUACAUUGCAAUCAUGAGGAUAACAUAUGUGGUCUUUAGUUAAUAUUAGUUUUCAUCUUGUCUAUUGUCUGUGUUAAACUUGAGUCAGCUUUUUACCGCCAUUUUUAUUUACAGAAUGAU